AGUGAACGCUGGCGGUAGGCCUAACACAUGCAAGUCGAACGGCAGCACAGUAAGAGCUUGCUCUUACGGGUGGCGAGUGGCGGACGGGUGAGGAAUACAUCGGAAUCUACCUUUUCGUGGGGGAUAACGUAGGGAAACUUACGCUAAUACCGCAUACGACCUACGGGUGAAAGCAGGGGAUCUUCGGACCUUGCACGAUUGAAUGAGCCGAUGUCGGAUUAGCUAGUUGGCGGGGUAAAGGCCCACCAAGGCGACGAUCCGUAGCUGGUCUGAGAGGAUGAUCAGCCACACUGGAACUGAGACACGGUCCAGACUCCUACGGGAGGCAGCAGUGGGGAAUAUUGGACAAUGGGCGCAAGCCUGAUCCAGCCAUACCGCGUGGGUGAAGAAGGCCUUCGGGUUGUAAAGCCCUUUUGUUGGGAAAGAAAAGCAGCAGGUUAAUACCCCGCUGUUCUGACGGUACCCAAAGAAUAAGCACCGGCUAACUUCGUG
rnacentral:rRNA from 1 species